rnacentral:tRNA from 1 species
UUUUUAAUAGUAUAACAAGUACGUAUGCCUUCCAAGCACAAAGUCUCUCAUUAGUUCC